ensembl:lncRNA
GAGCGCAGUCUGGUUACAUCACUCAAAAACACUAUUCUCGCUCUCCCUUCGCUAUGUUCGUCAUGUUUUCUGGGUCCAAACCAGCCAAAGACUGGGUGGAAUGAAAAUAUCCAGAAGGCUUUAGAAAAGAAAGGAGAAGCAUGGUUCGGGCCAUUUUACAGCCUCACAUCACCCCAACUGACCCCUUGAUGACCACUUGACAAAAUGGAGGGGAGGGUGAGGACAAAAGAGAGCUGACCAAGGAGGAUGAGCGUUGAGAUGAAAGGAGGAGGGAGAGGUAACAGAGAGGAGAGGUAACGGCAGACGUGAAAAAAAAGAAGAAAAAAAAUUGCACAAAGAC